UCGUAACAAGGUCUCCGUUGGUGAACCAGCGGAGGGAUCAUUACCGAGUUAUACAACUCAUCAACCCUGUGAACAUACCUAAAACGUUGCUUCGGCGGGAACAGACGGCCCUGUAACAACGGGCCGCCCCCGCCAGAGGACCCCUAACUCUGUUUUUAUAAUGUUUUUCUGAGUAAACAAGCAAAUAAAUUAAAACUUUCAACAACGGAUCUCUUGGCUCUGGCAUCGAUGAAGAACGCAGCGAAAUGCGAUAAGUAAUGUGAAUUGCAGAAUUCAGUGAAUCAUCGAAUCUUUGAACGCACAUUGCGCCCGCCAGUAUUCUGGCGGGCAUGCCUGUUCGAGCGUCAUUACAACCCUCAGGCCCCCGGGCCUGGCGUUGGGGAUCGGCAGAAGCCCCCUGUGGGCACACGCCGUCCCUCAAAUACAGUGGCGGUCCCGCCGCAGCUUCCAUUGCGUAGUAGCUAACACCUCGCAACUGGAGAGCGGCGCGGCCAUGCCGUAAAACACCCAACUUCUGAAUGUUGACCUCGAAUCAGGUAGGAAUACCCGCUGAACUUAAGCAUAUCAAUAA
rnacentral:misc_RNA from 1 species